rnacentral:rRNA from 1 species
GACCAGACUCCUACGGGAGGCAGCAGUGGGGGAUAUUGCACAAUGGAGGAAACUCUGAUGCAGCGACGCCGCGUGAGGGAAGACGGUCUUCGGAUUGUAAACCUCUGUCUUUGGGGAAGAAAAUGACGGUACCCAAAGAGGAAGCUCCGGCUAACUACGUGCCAGCAGCCGCGGUGAUACGGAGGAUGCGAGCGUUAUCCGGAUUUAUUGGGUUUAAAGGGUGCGCAGGCGGAAGAUUAAGUCAGUGGUAAAAUUGAGGGGCUCAACCUCUUCGAGCCGUUGAAACUGGUUUUCUUGAGUGAGCGAGAAGUAUGCGGAAUGCGUGGUGUAGCGGUGAAAUGCAUAGAUAUCACGCAGAACUCCGAUUGCGAAGGCAGCAUACCGGCGCUCAACUGACGCUCAUGCACGAAAGUGUGGGUAUCGAACAGGAUUAGAUACCCCAGUA